rnacentral:rRNA from 1 species
GGCGAACGGGUGAGUAACACGUGGGCAACCUGCCCCUCGCAGGGGGACAACCGGAGGAAACUCCGGCUAAUACCCCGUACGCUUGUUGGAUCGCAUGGUCCGGCAAGGAAAGGUAGCUUCGGCCAUCCGGCGAGGGAUGGGCCCGCGUUGCAUUAGCUAGUUGGUGGGGUAACGGCCUACCAAGGCGACGAUGCGUAGCUGGUCUGAGAGGAUGAUCAGCCACACUGGGACUGAGACACGGCCCAGACUCCUACGGGAGGCAGCAGCCAGGAAUCUUGGGCAAUGGGCGAAAGCCUGACCCAGCAACACCGUGUGGGCGAUGAAGGCCUUAGGGUCGUAAAGCCCAGUUGAUAGGGACGAAGGGCGAAGGGUUAAUAGCCCCUAGCUUGACGGUACCUUUCGAGGAAGCCCCGGCUAACUACGCGCGAGCAGCCGCGGUAAUACGUAGGGGGCGAGCGUUGUCCGGAAUUAUUGGGCGUAAAGAGCGUGUAGGCGGUUCGGUAAGUCUGCUGUGAAAUCCUGGGGCUCAACCCUGGGCGUGCAGCGGAUACUGCCGGGCUAGAGGGUGGUAGAGGCGAGUGGAAUUCCGAGUGUAGCGGUGAAAUGCGCAGAUAUUCGGAGGAACACCAGUAGCGAAGGCGGCUCGCUGGGCCACACCUGACGCUGAGACGCGAAAGCGUGGGGAGCGAACAGGAUUAGAUACCCUGGUAGUCCACGCCGUAAACGAUGGAUACUGGGUGUGGGGGGAGUCGAAUCCCUCUGUGCCGAAGUUAACGCGUUAAGUAUCCCGCCUGGGGAGUACGGCCGCAAGGCUAAAACUCAAAGGAAUUGACGG